rnacentral:rRNA from 1 species
GGGCCCGCACAAGCGGUGGAGCAUGUGGUUUAAUUCGAUGAUACGCGAGGAACCUUACCAGGGUUUAAAUGCAGAACGACAGGGGUGGAAACACCCCUUCUUCGGACGGACUGCAAGGUGCUGCAUGGUUGUCGUCAGCUCGUGCUGUGAAGUGUCGGGUUAAGUCCCAUAACGAGCGCAACCCCCAUUUCUAGUUGCCAGCGGUUCGGCCGGGGACUCUAGAGAAACUGCCAGCGUAAGCUGUGAGGAAGGUGGGGAUGACGUCAAAUCAUCACGGCCUUACAUCCUGGGCCACACACGUGCUACAAUGGGAAGUACAGAGGGACGCCAAAGCGUGAGCUGGAGCU